UGGGCAUAGCCCGGGGCUGUGCCGCAGUAACUGGGCAACACGGACACAAAACCCGGCAGGAAGCGGCGCAGCCCAGGAGUGCACCUCCUGCCCAGUGGAAAAACGAGAAUUUAUGGUCCUUGGAAACAUAAAACUGCCCAGGGGAAAGCAGAAGCCAAGCAGGGAGUACAAUAGGCAAGGAGAAUGCUGGCAACGGACCCAAAGUCUUUUUUUCUCAUUUAAAUUAGCUCUUUCCCCCCAAGCAAGCUCUCUGCAGGCCAUCCCCGCGCAGUGACCUGGGGGGUGCCAGGGGCAGCCACAGCGAGGACGCAGGGUCACCGCUGUCACGCAGGAUUUACAAUUUCCUUGUUGGCGCUCCGGCUGUGCUGCCUGCUGCCUGGGGAGCCGGGGAGGACUGGGGAUUGUGCGGUGGUGCCGGGAGGAAGGACAGCCUGCAGGCUCAUGCACCCAGAAGGUCUCCCCGUGCUCUGGCCUGGUCUCCACCGCACACAGAAAGACCCAGUACGUGGGUGCUUUCCUGCCCAUCAGCUCUGCACAUAGCUCUGGGAGACGCAGGCAGCAGGCACAGGCUCCCUGGGGAGCUCCACGCUCCUUCACCAGGUCUCCACCUACACCUCAGGCCCGCGGUCGGUCUGUGUACAACCACCCCACGGUGCCGACAGCCCUGACCACAGCCUGAGCUGCAGAAACUUGCAGCCUCGGCUUUGAUCAGUGCUGGCGAGGAACACAGGGGUUAGGCCAGGCCCCAGUGACUGAUUUAUGGGGCUGCUGCGGGCUGCCUGGAGCCAGUGCCCCACGCGUGGUGGUUCUGCUCAGGUGCAGGAGCUGGAGACAACUUGUCAAAUAUCUGUGUUCAAAGUAUUAAUGGGAAAAUCCAGUCUAGAGCUCAACGUUUCUUCAACACACCUCAGCCAAGGUAUGCAAAACCAUCUGCUUCCUGGCAAUGGCUCGGUCCAGCAGGCAGGCAAUGGCUUAUUUGAGACGGGAGGUGGAAGCAGGGGUACUGGCAGGCUCGUACAGGGCAGGGGACGGACUCCAGAAUAAUGGAGCCCUGGCACUUGGAUCUAGCUGGAGGACAGCCCCUGUCCUCCACAGCCUCUCACCAAGCCCAGCUCCACGCCACGGCUCUCUCUUGGUGGGCUGUGCUGAUACCUUGGGUUAUUCUCAUUUUGACAACUUCACCAUGACAGCAAGUGUGCACAGGCACAGGUGUGCAUUUAUCUGCAGAAACGUGGAAAGCUAACAGCUCUGCAGCUUACUGCCCUGACCACAGGGUGCACAGAAUUAAGCUUCUGGUUUCCACAUAGACAACACGCACCCAGUGCCAGGGCCCUGAGGCCACAACAGGCCUUAACGGUCCUGACCAGCUUCACCUGCGGCCUCCACCACACCCCCACGCACCGGGCACAUGGGCUCCAUUUAAGCUCGGCUCUGGGCCUUCAACCCCUUCCAUGAGCUGUGGUGUGGGAGCGUUGGUCUCCAGCUGAGUGCCAGCCAUGACUGCCAUGGACCCGCUGAUCCUGACCUGUGUGCUGAUGUCCCACCUUGGCCUCAGACCAGUCUCAUCACCAUGGACCUGCCUGAUGAUCUGGACUCCUGGCUGAACUUGGCUACUGCACCAGGCCUGCUCUGCUCACCUCGCUCAGAGCUUUCCACUCAGGUCCUUUUGCAGACAUGAAUCUUGAACUGUAGCUUCUUUCUGGGACCGGCAGAUGUUAACCGGAGUCCCAGCAUGGGAAACUGAGGCAGGACGACUCAUCAGGAGCUCACCAGGCAAGUCGAGGCACAGCACAGCUGAAAUCAGGAGUUUCCAGCACCCACUCAUGUGCUACCCAUCUGCAAGGGGAGGCUAGCAACUGGAGGGAGAGCUGUGGGAGCCAGACAUGAAGCUCUGGCAGUGAAUUUGCACUGAAAACCAGGAGGGCAGUCUGCUGGCUUCCUGGCCGUGCUGAGCCCCAUGAUAUACCUUCAGACUCCAGGUGCUCCCACCAGGGUGCAGUGCACAGAUACAGCUGCCAUUGUGCCAGGCUGUCCUUCAGCAGCUGCUUGGAGCUAAUGCUCUUCCCUGCUCUUUAGCUUGGGUUAUUAAUGAGCUUCAGUAAUUGAAGUAGUGUCUUGGGACCCCACCCCAAAGGAGUCUCAUGUACCAGGCACUGAGUGUAUGUGAACAUAGCUCCUACCCCAAAGCUGCUAAAUUAUUACAGAUAAGGAGUGCUUGUUUCAUCAGAAGCAAGUCAAAUUCACCUGAAAUAACCCUUAAAAGUGACACUGCAAUUAUGCACUGAGACACCUUCAAGUAAUUCUGUAUUUCCCUAUAAAAAUCACUGUAGAGGCCCUGGCAGAAAAGGUCUCCUGUUCUUGUACAUGCUAUUUCGUAUCCUAGUUGCCUUCUAGUCUGGUAUGUAGGACAAGAGACAAGUCAAGAUAUUGGAAUUUUUUUUUUUAAACCUUGUUCAUAAAUGUUCAAACAACAAAGCUCAGAAGAAGAGCAGAAGCCAGGACUCUGCAGCAGGCUCAGCGCUCCGUGAAAAAGACUCAGACCCCCUAUGUGGCUGUGGGAAGGUAACAAUAUUUUGAGCAUCGGUUUCUCAUAUGCAAAACAAGGAUGCUCAUUUUCUAUUUCAUUCGGUUGUUCUGGUUACAGCAUGUCCCCUGCUAGUGACAGUUCCACAGCACCAGGCCAGCAGGGCCAGGCCACGAGAUGCUGCUCAUACAAAUACACGAGCAGGGAGCAACUGAGGAUUUCUGCUGCUCCCCCCGAAGUCCCAUUGUACACUCAGUCCCGUCCCAUUCCUUCCUGUGAGCCUGACAUGCUUGCUCACAUGGCAACACCAGUGAGAUGUGCGAGCCCUGGGGAGGGAGAUCAGAGGCAGCAGGGGAGAUGUUCUUAGGAAGAAUCUAGUUUGCUCCUGAGAAAAGCUGGAGAAGCUACAUCUGCGUGACUAACACCUGCUUCUGGCAAAUGCUGCAGGGAGGGACCAUCUCCUGGCUUCUAACGUGCUAUCGUGCACCAUAUGCGUUUUGGGUGCUGUCCUCCAGCCCCGUGUCUCGUGGCUUCUCUUAGCCACCACCCUGAGAAAUUAGCAUUUUCUUUGUGUAGCUGCAGCAGAGGUAGGAAGCUGGUUGUGCAUCUCCAGCUAUGAGCAAGCAGAAUUUAAGCUAGAGUGAAGACCUGAGCUCCAUUUGCAUUCAGGAACAGCGCUCGAUUACAAACUAGACCAGAAUGAGAAUGUGAGGGAUGCUGAGCUGCUUAGUGUGCUGCUCGGUGCAGACCAGGUUUCAUGCCUCAUUUGCUAGGUGCAAUCAGGCUCCCUUCUCUUUCAGGGCAGAAAGCCCUUUGCUAGCUCAAGCCCUGGGUGCAGAUGAACCCUUCCAUUUCUCAGUGCCAGCUACUUUCAUGAACAGCCUUGCUAUGUCCUGGUCUGAGACAGUCAGGGUCUGAAAUAAUCUGCUUUAUUCCCAGGCGAGGAGACUUUCCUGUGUAGCUGUUAAUACUAUCAAUCUCCAACAGUUCCACUUGAGGAAACAUUUCUUACAGAAAGCCCAGAGUUAUUGUUGGCCUCCAAGAGCCGCACAAAAAGGACGGGUCUGCAUCUGCAAGUACCAGCAGUGCAGCCAGAACAGGCCAUUGAGCUUGGAGGGCAUCAGUUGCUGUAGGGCCACCGCAGCCCUGCCUGUAAUGCCUGUUAGCAAAGACUGGCGUGCAGGGCUCCCGGCUGAAGCAGCUUGCCUCCUUGGUAAAACCAGCAGGCAGGUCUAAUGCUCGGAGGUGGCUUGUAAGGGAUUUUCUAGAGCAUGCAAUUCCCAUUGAAUUUAGAAGGAAUCAUGGUUGUUCUGAACAACACACAGGGAACGUAAAUGGGUUUAGAAACUUGCCCAGGAGCGUUUCUGUAAUACAACAACAGCCAACGAGGAAGGGAGCGCACACCUCUGCUGCCAGGCUGUCUGUGGGCAGGGGUCAGUCACAUGCAAACACUGCCCCGAUGCGAAGGUACCGAGCAGAGCCAGGCGCAGUGCAGCUGGCACCCGCUUCUCACCACGUUGUCCUUUGUUAAAAAUUACUGAACACUAAUGAAAUCGCCAAUAGACUGUGGUGACCUUCCUCUGUGGCAGUCCCCAAAUCUAAAGGAAGGUCUCUGGGUUCUCAAGCUGUCUGUAAAAUCUUAUUCUCCAAUUUGGAAACAAGACUUACUAGAUGAGAGUAAAAAAUCAGUGCUAAUUGUGUCAUUUACAAAACUAAGAAUAUUAAACAGUUCAAGGACUCUUUUAGCCUCGGGGGAGCUAAUGAGGUUAGUGAAUCAUGAUGAGAAACAUAGCCCAAGUUUAGAUAGCAGGAAGUAUGCACAAGGAGGGUUUUGUGGCAUCAGUAUUUAUCACCAAAACUGCACCAGAGCAUCACAGCUGAGCACUUGGCCAAGGCAAGCAGCUUGGGCUUGGAUGCAGGGAAACGAGAGUGGAGACCGGCAUUGCCCUAGGCAAAAACAGGGGAAGAACCUAAUGUUCCAGGUCUGGGAGCUUAGACCUUGUAAUCGUUAACCACAGGAGGCCGCAGCAGGAUUGAACCAGCCCACAGUGCCUUGGGAUCACUGAACCUUAGCAGCUGAUUUUGCAGUAGGUGCAGGACAGAAGUGCCCUACUCAAAGCAAAGGUCCCAAUGCCACAUUUUCUGCUCUCUAACAGGAGAGGUUGGUGUGUUUAUGGGGUCCCACUGAUUCCUCAGGAAUCAGUACCUGAAAGCCCUUAAAGGAUUAAACCAGGCAUUAAGCAUGGAGCUGUACAGUCUGCAAACAGCUGCCUGUGGCAGCCCGUCCUGGAUAGCAAGCUGCCUGCUUGGGCACGGUGCAGACCCCCAGCAGCUCUCGGUGAGGCGGCAGGUAUUGAUGGCAGACACCAGCAUUUGGGCCACUCCUACUACAUGUGCCUGAACAGUAAGCACCCUCCUGGAGCCAGCUCUGAGUGCCUACUCCUCCCACCACGCUACAUCUAGUCUUAACAUAUCUCACUGCUCUUCCACCUGUCGCAAAAAUAAGCUGUUUUUAGAAGAAACCUCUGGAGCUCAGAGGGUUUGUUGGGAUAGCUGGGGGUAUGUCAGACUUGACCGUGCAGGUGGCCGUGAUUCAGGGCCGUGAUGCUCUCUGCAAUGCAAGAGGCCACAUCCUCCUCUCCAGCAGACCCACUGCAUGGUGGUAAAGCAUGACCAGCAGCAGCAGUGACAGAAGGAUGGAGGAAGGGGGAAGUGACUCAGGUGUCCUGAAAACAGUCAGGCGGUUGCCAAUUAGUCCAAGCAACCCAUCUGGCCCAUGGAAAGGCCAUUUGGAGAAUGUCUAAUCACUGCUGCAGGAAAAAAAAGAAAAACAUUGCAUGAUGCCUAUUAAAAAUCCCUGUUCCCUCAUCAAAGUAUUCCUCCCUCCAGGGACUCGUUCAAGAUUUUUAUUCUGUAGAUUUAUCAUGGAGUUAUUUAGUGAAAACAUGAAGUAACUUGUCACUGUAUUAUGUUAAGCAGUAUGGAUUCUGCUUGCCUUCGGGCCUCAUUUAGUACAGAGCUAAAGAAGAACGAAGAAAGCAAGUGCAGAACCAAGCUCUUGUUUGCAAAUCUUAUUUUGCUAGGCUCAACUUUGCUUUGUGGUCAUGGUCUCCCAGGUCUCCCUCUCCUCAGAACAGUGAUCUAUAAAGUAUGAAGGACUCUUGUGCUAGACAACAAUCAGUACAGCAUCUACAAAGGCAGCAGGUCUAGCCUUUCUCCCAUGGAGACACAGCCUAAGAACCAGUAAGGCUGCAGUCAAAGCACUAGGUUACAUUAUUUUGUCAGAAAUCAAGGAGUGUACUCCUUAGAUGCACGAGGAGGGUCUCUCCAAUCCACCAGCAUAGCGGAGGCACUCCAUGCCAUGGUCAACCCCAGUUUAUGUGCCCUUGCUCACACAGUUGUCACUCAGAUUAAGGCACCUCCUCAUUAACGAGCUAGUCCAAUGUGCUUGCAGCCACUCUGGUUGCCAUCUCAAUUACAUUUUUUCAGACACCAAUAAAGAAGCAGCUUUGAGUCAUGGCUGAUUGCUCUACACCAGAAUGUAAUUUGAAAGCCAUUAUAUUUCA